rnacentral:rRNA from 1 species
UACGGGAGGGUGCGAGCGUUAUCCGGAUUAUUGGGUUUAAAGGGUGCGUAGGCGGCCUGCUAAGUCUGGAGUGAAAGGUACCGGCUCAACCGGUACAGGCUCUGGAAACUGGCGGGCUAGAGAGCAGGAGAGGGCGGUGGAACUCCAUGUGUAGCGGUAAAAUGCGUAGAUAUAUGGAAGAACACCAGUGGCGAAGGCGGCCGGCCUGGCCUGUUACUGACGCUGAGGCACGAAAGCGUGGGG